rnacentral:rRNA from 1 species
AGAGUUUGAUCCUGGCUCAGAACGAACGCUGGCGGCAUGCCUAACACAUGCAAGUCGAACGAACUUUCUGACUUCGGUUGGGGAGUUAGUGGCGCACGGGUGCGUAACGCGUGGGAAUCUGCCCCUUGGUUCGGAAUAACAGUUAGAAAUGACUGCUAAUACCGGAUGAUGUCUUCGGACCAAAGAUUUAUCGCCAAGGGAUGAGCCCGCGUAGGAUUAGGUAGUUGGUGGGGUAAAGGCCUACCAAGCCGACGAUCCUUAGCUGGUCUGAGAGGAUGAUCAGCCACACUGGGACUGAGACACGGCCCAGACUCCUACGGGAGGCAGCAGUGGGGAAUAUUGGACAAUGGGGGAAACCCUGAUCCAGCAAUGCCGCGUGAGUGAUGAAGGCCUUAGGGUCGUAAAGCUCUUUUACCAGGGAUGAUAAUGACAGUACCUGGAGAAUAAGCUCCGGCUAACUCCGUGCCAGCAGCCGCGGUAAUACGGAGGGAGCUAGCGUUGUUCGGAAUUACUGGGCGUAAAGCGUGCGUAGGCGGUUAUUCAAGUCAGAGGUGAAAGCCCGGGGCUCAACCCCGGAACGGCCUUUGAAACUAGAUAACUAGAAUCUUGGA